AGUGGGGAAUAUUGCACAAUGGGGGAAACCCUGAUGCAGCAACGCCGCGUGGAGGAUGACACAUUUCGGUGCGUAAACUCCUUUUAUAUGGGAAGAUAAUGACGGUACCAUAUGAAUAAGCACCGGCUAACUCCGUGCCAGCAGCCGCGGUAAUACGGAGGGUGCAAGCGUUACUCGGAAUCACUGGGCGUAAAGCGCGCGCAGGCGGCUAUUUAAGUUGGAUGUGAAAGCCUACGGCUCAACCGUAGAACUGCAUCCAAAACUAUUUAGCUAGAGUGUGGGAGAGGAAGAUGGAAUUAGUUGUGUAGGGGUAAAAUCCGUAGAGAUAACUAGGAAUACCAAAAGCGAAGGCAAUCUUCUGGAACACUACUGACGCUGAGGCGCGAAAGCGUGGGGAGCAAACAGGAUUAGAUACCCUGGUAGUCCACGCAGUAAACGAUGAAUGUUAGUCGUCGGGGGCCUAGUGUCUUCGGUGAUGCAGCUAACGCAUUAAACAUUCCGCCUGGGGAGUACGGUCGCAAGAUUAAAACUCAAAGGAAUAGACGGGGACCCGCACAAGUGGUGGAGCAUGUGGUUUAAUUCGAAGAUACGCGAAGAACCUUACCUAGCCUUGACAUAUUUAAGAAUCCGAUAGAGAUAUUGGAGUGCCUUCGGGAGCUUUCUUACAGGUGCUGCACGGCUGUCGUCAGCUCGUGUCGUGAGAUGUUGGGUUAAGUCCCGCAACGAGCGCAACCCUCGUCACUAGUUACUAACGGUUCGGCCGAGGACUCUAGUGAGACUGCCUUCGUAAGGAGGAGGAAGGUGAGGACGACGUCAAGUCAUCAUGGCCCUUACGGCUAGGGCAACACACGUGCUACAAUGGCCAGGACAGUGAGACGCGAUACCGUGAGGUGGAGCAAAUCUAUAAACCUGGUCUCAGUUCGGAUUGUAGUCUGCAACUCGACUACAUGAAGCUGGAAUCACUAGUAAUCGUAGAUCAGCUAUGCUACGGUGAAUACGU
rnacentral:rRNA from 1 species